CCAACAGGGAUUGCCUCAGUAACGGCGAGUGAAGCGGCAACAGCUCAAAUUUGAAAUCUGGCCCUUUCGGGGUCCGAGUUGUAAUUUGUAGAGGAUGCUUCGGGUUCGGCUCCGGUCUAAGUUCCUUGGAACAGGACGUCACAGAGGGUGAGAAUCCCGUAUGUGACCGGCCGUCGCGCCCGUGUGAAGCUCCUUCGACGAGUCGAGUUGUUUGGGAAUGCAGCUCAAAAUGGGUGGUAAAUUUCAUCUAAAGCUAAAUACUGGCCAGAGACCGAUAGCGCACAAGUAGAGUGAUCGAAAGAUGAAAAGCACUUUGGAAAGAGAGUUAAACAGUAUGUGAAAUUGUUGAAAGGGAAGCGCUUGCAACCAGACUUGCCCGCGGGUGAUCAGCCGGUGUUCUCACCGGUGCACUCACCUGCGGUCAGGCCAGCAUCGGCUUGGGUGGCCGGACAAAGUCCCCCGGAACGUAGCUCCUUUCGGGGAGUGUUAUAGCCGGGGGUGCAAUGCGGCCCGCCUGGACCGAGGACCGCGCUUCGUGCUAGGAUGCUGGCGUAAUGGUUGUAAGCGACCCGUCUUGAAACACGGACCAAGGAGUCUAACAUCUAUGCGAGUGUUUGGGUGUCAAACCCAUGCGCGUAAUAAAAGUGAACGGAGGUGGGAACCCUUCAGGGUGCACCAUCGACCGAUCCUGAUGUCUUCGGAUGGAUUUGAGUAAGAGCAUAGCUGUUGGGACCCGAAAGAUGGUGAACUAUGCCUGAAUAGGGUGAAGCCAGAGGAAACUCUGGUGGAGGCUCGCAGCGGUUCUGACGUGCAAAUCGAUCGUCAAAUUUGGGUAUAGGGGCGAAAGACUAAUCGAACCAUCUGUUUACUGGAUGGCGCAAUGGGUGGAUUCACCCAGACAGUCCUCGGGUCCUCGAGGGCGACACUGUCGGUCUUGCGGGGACGCCUUCAGGUUACCCGAAGUGAGUUUUGAUGCUCAUUCACAGACUAAGUGACGGUGGCCGUGCCCUGGAGGUGCGGCUAGGAUAUAGCCGAUUCCCCCCCCGGAAAAUAAGGGGGGCGUACCUAAAGAGUAGCUGGUUCCUNNNNNNNNNNNNGCCGAAGUUUCCCUCAGGAUAGCAGUAACGUUUUCAGUUUUAUGAGGUAAAGCGAAUGAUUAGAAGCCUUGGGGAUGUAAAAUCCUUAACUUAUUCUCAAACUUUAAAUAUGUAAGAAGUCCUUGUUGCUUAGUUGAACGUGGACAUUUGAAUGUACCGUUACUAGUGGGCCAUUUUUGGUAAGCAGAACUGGCGAUGCGGGAUGAACCGAACGCGAGGUUAAGGUGCCGGAAUAUACGCUCAUCAGACACCACAAAAGGUGUUGGUUCAUCUAGACAGCCUGACGGUGGCCAUGGAAGUCGGAAUCCGCUAAGGAGUGUGUAACAACUUACAGGCCGAAUGAACCAGCCCUGAAAAUGGAUGGCGCUCAAGCGUGUUACCCAUACCUCGCCGCCAGGGUAGAUACGAUGCCCUGGCGAGUAGGCAGGCGUGGGGGUCAGUGACGAAGCCUUGGGAGUGAUCCCGGGUCAAACGGCCCCU
rnacentral:rRNA from 1 species